GUUACUUUCAACUUCACCCUGAAAAUCUCCCAUGGUGGUUAGCAUUAAAACGAUGCGCGAGUGCACAGCUGCUGCACCUCCCUGUGAAGGAACAGGGCACUGUCACAAGGAGACUGUGUGGGACAAAGACAAAGCAUAGAGAAAAAGGAAAGCUGAACUGUGCUGGAAAAAGACCAUGGCUCAAACAUUAUAGAGCCAGAGUCAUUUUAUCAAUAAGUACAUAGAUCUGCUCACGCAGGAUUCAGAGCAUCUGGACGCCUCAGCCUCUACAUCAGCAGAGCAUAGGUACCUAAGCAUGCUCGUAGUGACGCAGUGUUCUUAAUAAUUCAACUUGUAUUGUAUUCUCAAUAUCCAGUCAGUACAUUUAUGUCAG